GGGAGCUAAAAGCUGCGCUCACCAACCCAGGCCCGGAUGAUUUAUUGGACAGACCGGACUUAAGAAGGUAUAGUUAGGAACCAGCUUCAUUAUUUCCCAAGCACCGCCUUCACCUAGACUCUUUGGAUCACCUUUCCCAGUUCACAAGACUUCUCAGACACUUUCAGACCUGCCAGAGAAACUGCUUGUUUCACAGAAGGAUGGUGCGGGCUGAAAGAUGCUUUCUUGAAAUGGAGGGAUUACUGCCUUACACAGGUUCCCC